UACGUAGGAGGCAAGCGUUGUCCGGAAUUACUGGGUGUAAAGCGCGUGUAGGCGGCAGGCCAAGUCUGUGGUGAAAUCGCUCGGCUCAACUGGGCGGGGUCCAUGGAAACUGGUCAGCUGGAGGACGGUAGAGGUGAGUGGAAUUCCCGGUGUAGUGGUGAAAUGCGUAGAGAUCGGGAGGAACACCUGUGGCGAAGGCGGCCGUCUGGGCCGACCCUGACGCUGAGGCGCGAAGGCGUGGGGAGCGAACGGGG
rnacentral:rRNA from 1 species